GCUCGCGUAGCUCAGCUGGAUGAGCAUUGGUCUUCUAAACCAAGGGACGCAGGUUCGACUCCUGCCGCGAGUG
rnacentral:tRNA from 1 species